AGAAGGACACAACUCUUAAAACAGAAAAUGUAAAAGAAGAAAAUAAAAACCUCCCAAAACAACCAUGGGACAACCAAGGCAAUAAGGGAAAUGCUGGUUCCUUCCUCAGGAGUCUUCUGUGUCCUACUGUGAGGCAGUAUGAGGAGAGUAGGGCCAUUAAACUUGUUUGGACUGAGAGAAUCACUUUCUGCCUGGUUGGAGUCCAGGAAGAAACACCAUGGAGCUUCACGAAUGGAGUGGCUAGACUGCCCGGGGAACAUUGGUCUGUACCCCACAACAACCCAGAGCUCAGAACAUAAACAAAGACACAUUUGGAAGCUCCUGUGGAGACCGAUAUCCAAGAUCAACAGAUCCUGCAAUUUGCUACUUCCUCCUCCCCCCCUCUCCUCCGA